AGGAAACAGAUUCUGCAGCGUCAGACAGGAAACUUCCCUGCCUUCCUCUUUCCUUCUCCUGGCUGUGGCUUUGGCAUCGCAAAGCAGCCAGCCUACUUYGGGAUCUGAUGUCAUAGCCAUUUUUAACACUYUUUUGACUAAGAAGAAAUUGGAUCCAUGGAUAAGGUCAGAUGUGUGUGUAUCGCCCUGACUUGUGGACUGGAGGAACU
rnacentral:lncRNA from 1 species